AAAUUAUACAGCAACUAUUUUAAUAAAUUAAGCACAAAAGGAAGGGUAAAAGAGGAAAACUAAAUGGGAAGACAAAAGCCAGGCCACGCUUUGGCUUGGAGGAGGGCAGAGGGGGGGCUAACGGAGACAGAAGUGGUUGCAAGGGGUGGCUCCCUUUCUGGUGAAAAAUUGGCAACCACCCCGAGCCCAGAAUGACACCCCUCUUCAUCGAGUUUCUUAAAAACAACCAAAAACGUACAGCAGUGGCUAUGCCACAGGCAGCACCAGUGUGGGCAUUCCAACAGCCAGCUACCCAAAGUGGCACCUGGACCCUACCUGUCCCUUGGACAGGUUCUGGGCCUAAGAGUGAGGGACAGGUCCCCGCCCAAGGGAGCACCAGAGAUGGAGGAGUGAGAGCAGGCUUCUGCUCCACCUGAGCUGGUUAGGGAGCUCAGGACGAAACUCUGAGCGGGGCAGUGUGGUAUGUGAUGAUCCCAGAGUCUGAGGAAGAGUGUCCUAAGUUCCUCACACUCUAUCUCCAGGAGGAACUACGAUCGCAGUCCAGCUGCAACCAAACAUGCAUGUCUUCCCGCCGUGGCUGGCUGCUUUCUGUCUGCCCCUCCAGGCCUCUUGGUGUUGCAGAGGAGGGGGUAGGAGAGGGAAAGGGAACGGUUCCAGGUCACCUCUAAACCCUCUAGAAAUGAAAUGGGAAUGAAGCAGGUCACAAACUCAGCAUGCAGGGCUGGCUUCCCGGGAGGUAGAUGGGAGUGGGACGGGAUAGCAGGUGUGGAGAGGACAGGAAGGGAAACAGGAAGAAACUGAGCGACACCUGCCAGGAAGGUCAAGAAGCAAUGAAAAGGACAAAGACAAUAUGAAAUCUGCAUGAAAAGACAGGUCCUUUUCUGGCAGAUUAGAGAAUCAACAUUUUCAGUACAACUCAUAACGCUACUUUCCUAACUGCAGUACCCGAGUCCCCAGCGCCUGUCUCUAUGAUCCAACCCCCAUUUCACUGCUCCCAAGACUUUGCUCUCCAUUUUAUCAAGGCCUCCAAUCAUUUUGUGCUGAGUGUGAAGGCUCCAAUGUGAAAGCAGGGUCUACCACAGGGACGUGCAGACUUGACCUUUGUGACCCAAUCAUUUUAUAGCUAUCGCAGCAUAGGAGGGGGGCACACUUUUCUUUCUUUUUUUUUUCUUUUUCUUUUUUUAAUAAAAAAGGUUUUACUCCCCAGGAGCAAAUAAAUCAUUUUGAACUACUGAUAAACACUGCUGCAGUGAAAAGAAAGAUGGCUACAUGUAUGCAAUAGCACAAAUUCAGUGGAAGAACAGCUGUGUUGACGAUUAGAGAUAAAAAUCACUUAUCCAUUCCCUCCUUUCCCACAAACCAAACCGAGGAUUCCCAUAGGGAAAAUGUCUAACUCAAUAGCUCCUCCCUUACAUGACAGGGGGUGUGUCAUUCUCUUAACAGUGGAAAACAAAUGCCAGGUCUCCGCCCAGUGGAGAUGCUCUUAACACCCUAACUGGUAGCAAGACUUCUGCAAAUGAGGACACACACACACACACACAUGCAUGCAUAUGCACACACACAGACUCAGACCUCCUUCCAGCAGCCAUAGAGCUUUAUCCCAGUGUCUUGUCCACUAACUUUAGGGCUCCAAAGCUAAGGGAGCGAGGCAGCAGGGAAGGGAAAGAUCUAACUGAAGGAAAAAGCUCCUCCUCGCCCCAGUUUCUGCAGGGAGCAGAGGGCUUCAAGCAGGCCAUGCUUUCCUGGGGGCCCUGGGGUGAGGGCUGACACGGCUGGAUUCCAGGGCACUUCUGGUUCUACUCCCACCUCUCACCCCUAGACCUAGGAACUAUAAUUACCCCCACUCCCUAAUUCUUCCUGGAUGUCUGUUACAGGGGUGUCUGCAGCUAUCUCCACACCAUCCCCAACCUCAAGGGGGGCUUACAUCAUUAGCCCAAGUGAAAUGUAGGGAAGGGGAAGGAGCAGGAGCCAUGCAGGAGUUUCCUUUGGCCACACCUUUCUCCUCAGGGAGGUGGCGCCACCUCCAUGGCUCAGGUUCCAAGAUGUAACAUUCACUUGGCCUAGGCACAGGCAGGUGACCAGGCAAAGGUCAGCACCAAUGGUCCCAAAGAGCCGGUUGCCACCCACUUACCUAGUGCCCACACCAAAACCCCCGCCCGCCUACUCCUGUGCUACCAACAUAGCACACGAAUUUCAAGUAACAGCAAGUUGUAGCAGUAGUUGUCACUGGCUCACAGCAGCUCACUCUCAACCUGAGGAAGGUUACAGUAGAUCAGUCAUAAACAGGUGAGGGUUAUGCAGGCACUGAGGCCACUGAUAGGCGUGAGCCACCGCGCCCAGACCUAGAAAGGAAUACAUUUAAAUGAGCUCUGCACAGCACUGGCGAAGGAGGGACGGGCCUGGUCAGGGAGGUGAAGGGCAGGUGCUGCCACACCUGCUCCUCUGCUCCAUUUACUCUCUGACCAGGCUGUAUCCCAGAGAGCUGGCCCAGCCCCAUGCCUCCCCCUCAUCUUCCCCUAACUGCUCUGUGCAAGGCCACCCAUGCAGGCACCAAACACCCACACCUGACGAAGACUGUCUCCUCUUGCGCUGCUGUUUUGCAGCCCACUCCACAGAGAAAGGACUAGGCUGCGGCCAGGGCUGGGACCAGUGCACUGACACAGACACAGUUCAACACGACACUCCCCAGGAGGAGAAAGGUGGGUGGUGAGGUUGGGUCACACCUCCUCAGUUGGUUUGUUUUGUACCUGAAUGUAUGAGUUCUCCAGAAGAAACCCCAGUAACACAGGGGGUGCAGAGGCUCUGCCUCCCUCACAUGGCCUGAGCUGACCAUAGUGAGGCCCUGGCAAUGGGCAGGAGCCUUGCUGACUCCUUUGGGCUUUGGGCUCCACCUCACCAUCAUAACCCCUUGGCACUCAGGUCUGCCUGGUGGCUGGGAAGCUUCCAUCUAGAAAACCGCACUGGAAAGGAUUCUUUAACCAUGUUGCUCUAACAGGGCUGUGCACUGUUCAGUACAUGCCAUGCAGAUUUCUGCUUCCUUGCUUUUGCUCAUGUGUUUUUCAUCUCACUGUCUGUCCUGCCAUUGACUACAACCCAAAGCCUCAGAGGCACAGAACUUUCCCAGACCAUCUGGUCUACCCUGAUCUUAUCUACUAUAAACGUCUUUAGAUAGUCCUUGAUUUUCUGCUUGAUGUGCAGCAGUCACCUAAAAGCUCCCUUAGGCCACAUAUUACGUCUUUUACCUUUUUUGUUUUCUACAAUAUCUAGCGCAAAGCCAGGCACACACACACUAAAAAAUAAUAUUAAAAUUAUGGGUGGUUGAAAAGGAACAAAAAAAAGAAAGAUCCCAGGCUGUAUAUCAGCCACCCAAGGAUCUCAACAGAUUCCAACUUCAGGCUCUAUAUUGGGGUGGCACUUCCUGCAAGAUGGCGAGUUAUAUUACUUGUACUCUCACGAGGCAACACUCACAUGCUAAGCCAAUUUCUGGGAUCACAAUCUUGCUUAGUUGAUAAUACUACCAUGGAAGCCAAGGAAAGAAGAGGUACCACAUGACAAAUCAGAGGUGGGCUGUGUUUAUGGUGCACAGCUCAUCUUGUGGGCCACCCUUCCACAGUCAGGUAAUGGUGCAAGUUUCCUCCCUGUUCAGCUACAAGGAGGAAGACUGGUCACUCCACGUGGGACUAAGGAAGAAGGCAAUGCUCCCAGAUGAGGCAGUCCUAUAAAUUACCAGGACACUGGGGCCCCACCCAAACCAUCAGGAAGCCACAAACCUGACAUUAGUAUCUGUCUUGUGACACGAGGCAACUAUAAGCAUGGGGAACCCAGAAAGAGAGUCCCAUGGAACACACGCAAAGGAGUCAUGAAGACCCAACAGCUCCACUGUUACAUCUCAAUAGCAAACCUCUCCCCAGAGCAGCUCUAUAAGAAAGCAAACUCACAAUGUCAUAUGAAUUGGCCAUGGCCAGCUGCAGAAACCAUUAAAGACCAUUGGAGUUUUUCUCCCCGCUCCUCCUGAAAGCAGGGACAGGCAGCUCUCAAAUCGGCAUCUGGCAGACUUUCCAGUGAGUGGAGACCAGCAGGAUCUGAUCCGGAAAUGUCUGGGUUGCUAGAAUGAACACAAGAAAAUACAGAAGCCCUUGCUACCUCCCAUCCCAGAAGUGGGAUGGCAGUGAUAAACCUAAAAACGUGAGAUGCGAUGCUCUCCUCUGACCUAAGGAAAUCCCGUGAGGGCUGCGUUCUGAGAGCUUCCUCUAGGAAGAGCACAACUGUGGGAGCUGUAUUUCUCACCUUCCUCCACAUUCCCCCUCACAAGCUGACAGGCACAUGGAAGUAACACUCACUCCUAAGUCAUGAGUACAGUUUGCCAUGAAGAACCUGGAAACAUGCUCCAUUAAAUUCAGCAGCCCAUGACUGGCUCUGAACCGCCCAGGUGAUGGGAAACACGAUUGCCAUGACAGCUGGCAGAAGCAAUAGGGAUGCUGUUACCAUGAUCAGAGUGACAUGUACAGUUAUCUCAAGGGGCAAUGGGUUGAGAGCAGAGGAAGAACGGGGUUAACUUCAGGUCAUGGAACUUAAGGAAUUAAGUAAAUCACAACUAGUACAGCUUCCAUGAGAGGUGUUUCUGAACUCAGGUUCCUAAACCUUAAAAAAGGAUGCAGGAGUCACUACUUCUCCCAGCUAAGGCCAAUUGGCUAGGUUUUGCCCAAUAUUCUUUUCGAGACCACCCACCCUCCUUUCUCUCCUGCUCCUACAACAGCUGCCCAUGGCAACAAGAGGCAGAUUCCCCCUUCCUCAGGAACUCCCAGUCCUUUGCAAACCUCAAGCCCCUCCUCCCAUCUUCCAGGCCCACAGCACAGACUCUAACUCUGCCUUUGGCACCAGCUGAAUGGCCGUCCCCUGUUCCCUCCUCCCACCCCUUCUUUGGACCUGCUCACCCUUCGCACCACUUUCAAUCCAACGGGCACAAACCCCAACUGCCUUCAAGGUGAGUUUUCCAUACCAAGUAAUAUAAAUAUCAAAAACAAAACUUCUGAAAAAGAAACAGUGUUGAGACUUCUUCCAGUUUUCCAAGGAGCCCCUCCAGUCCUAAGAUGCCCAGGGGUGGGUGUGAGGUGGAG
rnacentral:lncRNA from 10 species